ACUGGGCGCAGUGGCGCGUGCCUGUGGUCCCAGCUACUCGGGAUGCUGAAGUGGGAGGAUAGUUUGGGCCCAGAAGUUCUGGGCUGUAGUGCGCUGUGCUGAUCGGGUGUCCGCACUAAGUUCGGCAUCAAUAUGGUGACUUCCCGGGAGCAGGGGACCACCAGGUUGCCUAAGGAGGGAUGAACCGGCCCAGGUCGGAAACGGAGCACGUCAAAACUCCCGUGCUGAUCAGUAGUGGGAUCGGGCCUGUGAAUAGCCACUGCACUCCAGCCUGGGUAACAUAGCAAGACCCUGUCUCU
rnacentral:SRP_RNA from 1 species